UUUUUAAAUAAAGACUAGUAUGAACGGCCGCACGAGGACCUAACUGUCUCCUUUGUCCGAUCAGUGAAACUGAUCCCCUCGUGCAGAAGCGAGGAUUUUAUCAUAAGACGAGAAGACCCUAUGGAGCUUUAAACUUUUAUUAACCAUUUUCUUUACCUCUCUAAGGGGCUAACAACUAAUUUAAUUUUCUUAAUAAAAGUUUUGGGUUGGGGCGACCAUGGAGAAAAAAAAAUCCUCCCUGAUGACUUCCUAACUAAGAGCCACAGCUCCAAGUAUUAAGACACUUAACUCCUAUUGACCCAUUUUAUGAUCAACGAACCAAGUUACCCUAGGGAUAACAGCGCAAUCCAUUUCAAGAGUCCCUAUCGAC
rnacentral:rRNA from 1 species